rnacentral:rRNA from 1 species
CCUACGGGAGGCAGCAGUAAGGAAUAUUGGUCAAUGGACGAAAGUCUGAACCAGCCAUGCCGCGUGAAGGAUGAAGGCCCUCUGGGUUGUAAACUUCUUUUAUCUGGGACGAAAAAAGGGAAUUCUUUCCCACUUGACGGUACCAGAGGAAUAAGCACCGGCUAACUCCGUGCCAGCAGCCGCGGUAAUACGGAGGGUGCAAGCGUUAUCCGGAUUCACUGGGUUUAAAGGGUGCGUAGGUGGGUCUGUAAGUCAGUGGUGAAAUCUCCGAGCUUAACUCGGAAACUGCCAUUGAUACUAUAGGUCUUGAAUCAUCUGGAGGUAAGCGGAAUAUGUCAUGUAGCGGUGAAAUGCUUAGAUAUGACAUAGAACACCAAUUGCGAAGGCAGCUUACUACGGGUGCAUUGACACUGAGGCACGAAAGCGUGGGGAUCAAACAGGAUUAGAUACCCUGGUAGUCCACGCCCUAAACGAUGGAUACUCGACAUCAGCGAUACACUGUUGGUGUCGUGAGACGAAGACGAUAAGUAGUACCACCGUACGGAGGUAACGUACCGACGAGUUAGUAACGUUACGAAGAAGUUAGACGGCGNGAGAGNGCGACGGACGACGACGAGGGAGGAGG